CAUUGUUGAUUGUUGAUAGUCGCGGAGGAGGUAGUUAAGAAGGAGCUAGUUGUUGAUUAAAGCUUAAAGUUUUAGAAGUAAAAAUCUUGCAAGACUUGGAGGUAUUUAGGUCAUUCAUGGAUGAAUGACAAUCUUGUGGUUUAGAGGCUUAGACAUCCCUCUCCUCAUGGCUCUUGGUAUAUUUAGUUUUGAUGGUCUUGUUAUUGUCAAAUUUCUGUAAAUGGUCAAGUGUGGUUUCUUGAAUUUGCAAAACUUGUAUUUUGACUUAAAAAGCGUCAAAAUGGGUAAGAUGACCUAUUUACUUGUAUAAACUUGGUUUGUAUAAAUGGAUGGUAUGGAGACUUUUGGAAA